UAGGGGGCAAGCGUUAUCCGGUUUUACUGGGUGUAAAGGGAGCGUAGACGGCAGCGCAAGUCUGAAGUGAAAUCCCGCAGCUCAACUGCGGAACUGCUUUGGAAACUGUGCAGCUAGAGUGCAGGAGAGGUAAGCGGAAUUCCUAGUGUAGCGGUGAAAUGCGUAGAUAUUAGGAGGAACACCAGUGGCGAAGGCGGCUUACUGGACUGUAACUGACGUUGAGGCUCGAAAGCGUGGGGAGCAAA
rnacentral:rRNA from 1 species